rnacentral:rRNA from 1 species
AUGCGUUUGUUUCGCGCUUUUCACAAUAACACCCUGGAUGUGGAGCGUCUGAAUUAUGGGGUGAUCACCUUGAUACCUAAGACUAGUGGUGCUAAGAAAAUACAACAGUACCGUCCCAUCUGCUUACUUAGAUGUCCAUACAAGCUGAUUACUAAAGUGAUGGAUAAUAGAGUAUCCAUCUUUGCUGGUAAGCUUAUUAGCAGACACCAAAAUGCUUUCAUUAAACAUAGAAAUAUCAUGGAUGGGAUCCUCACUCUCCAUGAGUUCUUACACCACACACACCAUAAAAAGAAAGUUGGGGUGGUCCUGAAGUUGGACUUUGAAAAAGCAUACGGCAAAAUUAAUUGGGAUUUUCUCCUUGAAUGUCAUAGUAAUAGAGGCUUUGGUGAAACCUGGUGUGGUUGGGUGAAGAAGAUACUGACUAAUGGCACAGUCAGCAUUAAGUUGAAUAAUGUGACUGGCCUUACUUCCAAAGCCACAAGGGGGUGCGCCAGGGCGACCCUCACUCCCCUUUUUUGUUUAGCCUUGCGGUGGAAACCUUGUCUAAGAUGA